CUGUUGUGUUAAAGUUCAUUUGCAAAUGUUCUCUUGGUUGACGUUAUAACAACUGAGAGCUGUAUUUUUAUAAAUUUUAUAACUUUUUAUUGUGGAGUGUAUUGUUCUUAUAAAAUAUAGCUUUUCAAGAUGUUGGCCCAACCUAUGCAGAUGGUAGCCCCACAACCUGUAAUGGCAACUCCUGUGGUGACCGCAGCGCCGCCCAUGGUGGCAGCUGCUCCGAUGAUGGCCGUGGCCCCAAAUCCGUUCAAGUGUCCAGUCUGUGUUAAUGGUUUUCUGGUCACGAGGCCCCAUAUCAUGGGAGUCCUAAUGUGCAUCUUCCUGUGUCCUUUGGGCUGGCUAGUCCUGCUGCUCACGAUGAGGAGGUCAUGUCGAAUUUGCAAUUACCACAAGUGGAGGUUCUUUUAAGAGCUACGGAAUUGUUUUUGUUUAACCUGUUGUUUAAAGCUAUGAAGAACUUAUUUUUGUAGAUUUUAUACUUUUUAUAGAUACCGUUGGUGCAAUAUAUAUAGUUUUUAUUUCUCAUUGUUUUUACUGCAUCAAAUUGUCUGUUUUAUUGAGCAAAGGAUUUAACUGGAACUAGACCGAUAAUUUUAAAGUAUGUUUAGCAGAUGUUAUGAUAGUUGCUUUAUUAAUAUAAAUUAAGUUCCAGAAAUGUUUUAUAUUAAAUUUUAACUUUUGAAAUACUAUUAUGAACUUUGCAAUUGAAUAGGCAA